UUCCUCAAGAGGAAAAUAAGCUGCACCAUUUCUAUGAAGUAGGGGCUGGGAGAGAAGGCUCCAGUUCCCUAGAGAAGUGGUGGUCAACGGCAGGGUGCUGGUGGCAGAGCGAGGCCUGUGCUGUGCUCACUGGGGGUGCUGCUGCCAUAGGGGAGUGGACGCAAUGCUGAUGGGCCUUGGCUUGUUGGUUCUUGGGUGGCCCCAAAGGAGCAAGCUGUAAGGUUGUCUUCUGGGUGGUUCUGGCCACCAGAACUGAUCUUCCUGUGGGGCCUUCUGACAACAGCACCUCAGAGGCCAUGUCUGAGUUAUUUAAGUUUAAGCUUAACCAGAACAGCAUGCUUCUGAAGACAAGGCUGCUGGGGAGCGGCAGUGGCUGACGGGUGGCGCAUCCUGUGGUCUGCAUGGCUGGGACCGCAGAUGGGAGAAAGUCCUGAGGCUGUUGUAAAGAAAGGAGCCUGUCAUUCACCAUCACUCUUCUUGUUUUACGCCAGACUAACUCUUCCAAUGAAAGCUUUGGCUAUGUAAAGAAUAAAAGAUUACUCUUAUCCUUGGUACUUUUUUCA
rnacentral:lncRNA from 1 species